rnacentral:rRNA from 1 species
AUUGAACGCUGGCGGCAGGCCUAACACAUGCAAGUCGAGCGAGCGGCGGACGGGUGAGUAAUGUAUGGGGACUGCCCGUUAGAGGGGGAUAACUACUGGAAACGGUAGCUCAUACAGCAUAUUCUCGGAUAACUCAUAUGGGAUUUGCUAGUAGGUGAGGUAAUGGCUCACCUAGGCGACGCUCCCUAGCUGGUCUGAGAGGAUGAUCAGCCACACUGGGACUGAGAAACGGCCCAGACUCCUACGGAGGCAGCAGUGGGGAAUAUUGCACAAUGGGCGCAAGCCUGAUGCAGCCAUGCCGCGUGUAUGAAGAAGGCCCUAGGGUUGUAAAGUACUUUCAGUCGGGAGGCGUUACCGACAGAAGAAGCACCGGCUAACUCCGUGCCAGCAGCCGCGGUAAUAC